rnacentral:rRNA from 1 species
UACGUAGGGUGCAAGCGUUAAUCGGAAUUACUGGGCGUAAAGCGUGCGCAGGCGGUUUUGUAAGACAGAUGUGAAAUCCCCGGGCUCAACCUGGGACCUGCAUUUGUGACUGCAAAGCUAGAGUACGGUAGAGGGGGAUGGAAUUCCGCGUGUAGCAGUGAAAUGCGUAGAUAUGCGGAGGAACACCGAUGGCGAAGGCAAUCCCCUGGACCUGUACUGACGCUCAUGCACGAAAGCGUGGGGAGCAAACAGG